rnacentral:tmRNA from 1 species
GGGGAUGACAGGCUUCGACGGGAGAGGCUGAUCCCGGAAUGCGAGCUGAGAGGCGCCGAACUCAUUAACUCAGCGCAAAAUUCAAGUGCCAACCGCACUUCCUACGCUGCCAUGCCACUCGCUGCAUAAGCGGUGAUUUGACAGUACGGUCUCUGAAAAAGGGACCGCGUCCACCGGCCCCGAUCUCCGCCAGGGACCGGCCUGGGCGUGACAAACGCGGAGUGCCGCGCACGACGCCGCUGCCUGCGCGAAAGACAAAGCGGCUGGCUGCAGGAAAUUCCGGCCGGACGAGGCUCCUGCAGCGACAAAUUCGACCGGCUACGCUCGUAGAUUUCCGAGGGUCGAUUCUUUCGGACGCGGGUUCGAUUCCCGCCAUCUCCACCU